UUAAACCGGUUUAGCAUCAAAUCAAGUAGGACCUACUCCGGUGACCUCAGACGAACAUUCGUGUAAAAAAUGACGGUAAAAAAUGGAUUGAAAUGGACAAGCAUAAAAUUUUGGGCUAUGGACUUAUUGAAGACAACUGUAUGGAGAUAAACAGAAACACAGUGGUGCUUACAUUCUGAUGGAAAAGACAACAAAAGCAUCUCCCAUCAUUUUGGCGUGGCUCAGAUCAAGAGGAGAAAUUUAGAAAAGGUGAUGGUUGGGCACACACAAGAAGACAUAGAUCACAGGCGUCUAGCCAUAUGAGUAGACAGGAGUUUCACACUCUGCCAGACUUACUUCCUCAGACGAGCAGAUUUAGGCUUCUCAAGAUCACGCACUGCACACUAAGACAUAGUCUUUGACUACAACAAGGCCUUAGGGGAUGAAAGUACAGAGAGGUCCAAUUGAAAUCAAUUCUGUGCUGCGUCAUUUCUUCAUUCUGGAGGUUGAUGGACAUGAUUUAUGGCAUCAAGUGUGCAGUUUGUCAACUAACUAUCAACACAGCAGUCUUGUUCACCAGCUGCGCAACUUGAGCUUUUAGCUUUAUUGCUUGAAGCCACUGCAUAAGAGGAGGGAAGGUGCAGGCUCAUCAAAAAGUCUCAAAGUUGAAACUAGGAAAAGAAGUUUGUCAAGAGUGUGAUUUAUUAUAUUUGCUUUGAAAACAAUUGUUACAAUGAUUUGGUUUCCUUUGAAACUUGAUACAUACUAUGUGUAUGUUGAAUGAAUUGAGAUGCUUAAAUAAAGAACCGCUAUUCAAAUAUCAGGAAACUGCAUUUUUCAUACUAAAGGGUAAAUGAUGUCGCCAUUUGCUGUAUGUAUUUAAAUAAGAUAUGUUUCCACAAUUAAUAUUUUUAGGGACUAUUUCUCAACGUAAUGAAAUAGAUUAAAUUUGUACAGCGUUAUAUGAGCUUAAUAUGUGUUUUCUGUUUCCUUAAAAUUGAUGAAAAAUUGUCAGAAGGUAAUGAGACCAGUAUCCAUUACUGCAAUCAUACAAUAAAAAAUACAAGGACAAGCCCACUGCUCAUAUAAUAUGAUUAAACCUUGUUUAGGGGCAUGAGGCAAACAGAGUUACUUUCAAAUGUUAAAGAUGCACUCUCACACUUCGGAUGUUUUAACAACUUUUUUCAUUUUUAGCUCUACUGGCCAAAGGCCAGAAGAGCUUAUGCGAUGGUAAUGUGUACGUAGUAUGUGCGUCUGUAAACAUUCCUCGUUAACAUGAUACAGCCUUCAGUUUUGAUUGCAUCUUGAUGAAACCUGUACAGUAUCUACAUAUCCAUUAGAGCUCGGUUCCUUUCGAAAACCAGCCAGAUCCGCCAUGCAUGCCAAGAUUAUGGGCCUUGAUAAUAAAAAAAAUAAUGUGUCAGUAAACAAUUGCUCGGUAACACGAUACAUUCUUCAGUUUUGAUUGUAUCUUGAUGAAACUUGUCCAGUAUAUCCAUUAGAGCUCAGUUCCUUUCAAAAACCUGAUCUGCCCAUGUUUCCUGGAUUAUUGGCCUUGAAAUUAUUAGAUGAUGGGCCUUGAUAGUAUAAAAAAAUGCUAUUUUGUAAUAAAUGCUUGCGAAUAUGAUACAGUCUUCAGUUUUGAGUAUUCAGAUACCCAUAAGGGGUUGGUUCUUUUCGAAAACAGUGAUGUUGACCACACAAACCCAGCCAGUAGAGCAUAGGCCCAUUUGGGCCUCUUGUUUGUUUUGAAUUGGUACCAUCCAAUUUUUGCGAAAAAUGCAUGGAAACCAGUAAUAUAAGACUACCGUAUUGACAAAAAAUUCAAUUGCAGACUUUUCUAUUUAAGUUAAAACAUUGAUGUUUUAUGCACUUUUCUUAAACCGUUAGUAACAUUAAUCUUCGAAGGAAAUAUGAAAUCUGGGAUUUGAUGUUUUGUCAGCAAUCUUUUACCAUUGGUUUGCUGAUAUUUACGCAAAAAUUUGCUCAUUCCAAGACAAAACAAAAGUUGUUAAAACGUUAUAUCUGUGAGAAUGCAGCUCUAAAUGUUUUGGCAAACAUGUUUUUGAUUUGGCAGCACAAUCAAUCUUGAGAAUUGCUUGAUUUUACUGCUGUAUUAGAAAUUACAGGGGUAAUGGGGA